AACGUAGGAGGCAAGCGUUAUCCGGAGUUACUGGGCGUAAAGCGCGUGUAGGUGGAUCGGUAAGUUACUUCUAAAAGCUCCUGGCUAAACUAGGAGAGGUUGAGUGAUACUGCCAGUCUUGAAUAGAGGAGAGGUUGACGGAAUUCCGCGUGUAGUGGUGAAAUGCGUAGAGAUGCGGAAGAACACCAGUGGCGAAGGCGGUCAACUGGCCUCAUAUUGACACUCAGACGCGAAGGCAUGGGUAGCGAACGGG
rnacentral:rRNA from 1 species